rnacentral:rRNA from 1 species
UGGGGGAAUAUUGGGCAAUGGGGGAAACCCGUGACCCAGCAACGCCGCGUGAAGGAAGAAGGCCCUCGGGUUGUAAACUUCUUUUACCAGGGACGAAGGACGUGACGGUACCUGGAGAAAAAAGCAACGGCUAACUACGUGCCAGCAGCCGCGGUAAUACGUAGGUUGCAAGCGUUGUCCGGAUUUACUGGGUGUAAAGGGCGUGUAGGCGGAGGUGCAAGUUGGGAGUGAAAUCCCGGGGCUCAACCCCGGAACUGCUUUCAAAACUGCAUCCCUUGAGUAUCGGAGAGGCAAGCGGAAUUCCUAGUGUAGCGGUGAAAUG